CCAAUAGCGUAUAUUAAAGUUGUUGCAGUUAAAAAGCUCGUAGUUGAACUUCAGGCCUGUCCAGAUGGUCCGCCUUAAUUGGUGUGUACUGUCCUUGGGUGGGUCCUACCUUCUGGCGAAGCGGCAUGGCCUUAGUUGGUCGUGUCGGGGAACCAGGACUUUUACUGUGAAAAAAUUAGAGUGUUCAAAGCAGGCAAAUAUGCUCGAAUACAUUAGCAUGGAAUAAUGGAAUAGGACGAUGGUUCUAUUUUGUUGGUUCUAGGACCGUUGUAAUGAUUAAUAGGGAUAGUUGGGGGCAUUAGUAUUCAAUUGUCAGAGGUGAAAUUCUUGGAUUUAUUGAAGACUAACUACUGCGAAAGCAUUUGCCAAGGAUGUUUUCAUUAAUCAAGAACGAAAGUUAGGGGAUCGAAGACGAUCAGAUACCGUCGUAGUCUUAACCAUAAACUAUGCCGACUAGGAAUCGGGCGAUGUUGACAAAAUGACUCGCUCGGCACCUCAUG
rnacentral:rRNA from 1 species